CAGCAGCCAGUAAUACAGAGGGUGCAAGCGUUAAUCGGAAUUACUGGGCGUAAAGCGCGCGUAGGUGGUUUGUUAAGUUGGAUGUGAAAGCCCCGGGCUCAACCUGGGAACUGCAUCCAAAACUGGCAAGCUAGAGUACGGUAGAGGGUGGUGGAAUUUCCUGUGUAGCGGUGAAAUGCGUAGAUAUAGGAAGGAACACCAGUGGCGAAGGCGACCACCUGGACUGAUACUGACACUGAGGUGCGAAAGCGUGGGGAGCAAACAGGAUUAGAUACCCGCGUAGUCCCUGUCUCUUUACACA
rnacentral:rRNA from 1 species